rnacentral:rRNA from 1 species
CCUACGGGAGGCUGCAGUGAGGAAUAUUGGUCAAUGGACGAGAUUCUGAACCAGCCAUGUAGCGUGAAGGAUGACUGCCCUACGAGUUGUAAACUUCUUUUGUAUGGGAAUAAAAUGUUCCACGUGUGGGGUUUUGUAUGUACCAUAUGAAUAAGGAUCGGCUAACUCCGUGCCAGCAGCCGCGGUAAUACGGAGGAUCCGAGCGUUAUCCGGAUUUAUUGGGUUUAAAGGGUGCGUAGGUGGAUUUUUAAGUCAGUUGUGAAAGUUUGAGGCUCAACCGUGAAAUUGCAGCUGAUACUGGCAGUCUAGAGUACAGUAGAGGCGGGCGGAAUGCGUGGUGUAGCGGUGAAAUGCAUAGAUAUCACGAAGAACUCCGAUUGCGAAGGCAGCUCACUGGACUGCAUCUGACACUGAGGCACGAAAGUGUGGGUAUCAAACAGGAUGAGAUACCCCUGUAGUC